AUUGAACGCUGGCGGCAGGCCUAACACAUGCAAGUCGAACGGUAACAGGAAGCAGCUUGCUGCUUCGCUGACGAGUGGCGGACGGGUGAGUAAUGUCUGGGAAGCUGCCUGAUGGAGGGGGAUAACUACUGGAAACGGUAGCUAAUACCGCAUAAUGUCGCAAGACCAAAGAGGGGGACCUUCGGGCCUCUUGCCAUCGGAUGUGCCCAGAUGGGAUUAGCUUGUUGGUGGGGUAACGGCUCACCAAGGCGACGAUCCCUAGCUGGUCUGAGAGGAUGACCAGCCACACUGGGACUGAGACACGGUCCAGACUCCUACGGGAGGCAGCAGUGGGGAAUAUUGCACAAUGGGCGCAAGCCUGAUGCAGCCAUGCCGCGUGUAUGAAGAAGGCCUUCGGGUUGUAAAGUACUUUCAGCGGGGAGGAAGGGAGUAAAGUUAAUACCUUUGCUGAUUGACGUUACCCGCAGAAGAAGCACCGGCUAACUCCGUG
rnacentral:rRNA from 1 species